CAGUUCCCUCACCAAAAGAACACAGGAGUGCCUGCACUUUCUGAGGAGACUGAAGAAGGUACAUCUCCCCAAACCCAUCCUCACCACCUUCUACAGGGACACCAUCCAGAGCAUUCUAUCCAGUUCUAUUACAGUCUGGUAUGGAAACUGCCACGCCUCCGACCACAGAGCCUUUCAGAGGAUUGUUCAUUCCGCUGAGCGCAUCACCGGCAGCUCUCUGUCCAGCCUGCAGGACACUUACACUUCCCGCUGCAUCCGUAAGGCCACCAGCAUUGUGACUGACCGGUACCAUCCCACCCAGGAACCGUUUAUCCCUCUUCCAUCCAGAAGAAGAUUCUGCAGCAUCAGGAGCAGGUCUGCAUGACCGUGCAAUAGGAGCAGGUCUGCACGACCGUGCAAUAGGAGCAGGUCUGCAUGACUGUGCAGUAGGAGCAGGUCUGCAUGACUGUGCAAUAGCUUCUUUCCCCAAGCAGUCCGGCUCCCGAACAGCACACCGCCCCCCCCCC